rnacentral:rRNA from 1 species
CCUACGGGGGGCAGCAGUGAGGAAUAUUGGUCAAUGGCCGAGAGGCUGAACCAGCCAAGUCGCGUGAGGGAAGACGGCCCUACGGGUUGUAAACCUCUUUUGUCGGGGAGCAAAGCGAACCACGUGUGGUUCAUUGAGAGUACCCGAAGAAAAAGCAUCGGCUAACUCCGUGCCAGCAGCCGCGGUAAUACGGAGGAUGCGAGCGUUAUCCGGAUUUAUUGGGUUUAAAGGGUGCGUAGGCGGUCCGUUAAGUCAGCGGUAAAAUUGCGGGGCUCAACCCCGUCGAGCCGUUGAAACUGGCAGAC